rnacentral:tRNA from 1 species
UGUUUUAUGGCCGCCCAACCAGUAUGGUGGAUAUGGCCUUCGGCUUGUAGCCGAGUGGGUUCGGGUUCAAAUCUCGAGUAAGGCAU